rnacentral:rRNA from 1 species
AUUGAACGCUGGCGGAAUGCUUUACACAUGCAAGUCGAACGGUAGAGGGGGCAACCCCUCGAGAGUGGCGAACGGGAGAGUAAUAUAUCGGAACGUGCCCAAUCGUGGGGGAUAACGUAGCGAAAGCUACGCUAAUACCGCAUACGAUCUAAGGAUGAAAGCGGGGGAUCGCAAGACCUCGCGCGAUUGGAGCGGCCGAUGGCAGAUUAGGUAGUUGGUAGGGUAAAGGCCUACCAAGCCGACGAUCUGUAGCUGGUCUGAGAGGAUGAUCAGCCACACUGGGACUGAGACACGGCCCAGACUCCUACGGGAGGCAGCAGUGGGGAAUUUUGGACAAUGGACGCAAGUCUGAUCCAGCCAUUCCGCGUGCAGGAUGAAGGCCCUCGGGUUGUAAACUGCUUUUGUACAGAACGAAAAGGCUCUGGUUAAUACCUAGGGCUCAUGACGGUACUGUGAGAAUAAGCACCGGCUAACUACGUGCCAGCCGCCGCAGUAA